rnacentral:rRNA from 1 species
GACGAACGCUGGCGGCGUGCUUAACACAUGCAAGUCGAACGAUGAUCAGGAGCUUGCUCCUGUGAUUAGUGGCGAACGGGUGAGUAACACGUGAGUAACCUGCCCCUGACUCUGGGAUAAGCGUUGGAAACGACGUCUAAUACUGGAUACGACUGCCGGCCGCAUGGUCUGGUGGUGGAAAGAUUUUUUGGUUGGGGAUGGACUCGCGGCCUAUCAGCUUGUUGGUGAGGUAAUGGCUCACCAAGGCGACGACGGGUAGCCGGCCUGAGAGGGUGACCGGCCAGACUGGGACUGAGAAACGGCCCAGACUCCUACGGGAGGCAGCAGUGGGGAAUAUUGCACAAUGGGCGAAAGCCUGAUGCAGCAGCGCCGCGUGAGGGAUGACGGCCUUCGGGUUGUAAACCUCUUUUAGUAGGGAAGAAGCGAAAGUGACGGUACCUGCAGAAAAAGCACCGGCUAACUACGUGCCAGCCGCCGCCGUAA